rnacentral:rRNA from 1 species
AGACUGAUUACUGCAGUCAAUUAAACUUCGAUAAGUUUCUACACAUGCACUUUCACGAGUAAGUGGUUAUUGAUAAUAACCCAGUAUUAUGCUUAGCUAACAUCUUAAGAUGCUAUGGCCGUGUUCAGCAGUGAAUAAUAUUUUACAACUUAAUUGAGGUAAUGAUCUUAUCAGUUAUAAGCUAAAUAAUAAUUACUUAUAGAAUAGUUUUAUCUAAAUAUCGUGCCAGAAGAUUCGGUUAGACGAUAAAAGCAAAGUUUAAUUUAGAGUUUAAAACAGCUGUAGGUUAUAAAUAUGUAUAAAUAAUGAAUAUUAAAUAAGAGGUAAAAUUCUAAGACUUUAAUUAGCAUUCCAUACAAUACAUUACUGAGAGCUAAAGCCAUUUUUUAACGACCAGGAUUAGAUACCCUGCUAGUGAUGGUAUAAUCUAUGAUAAUUAUAGUAAACGAAAGUUAAGAAUUAUCUACUCGAAUAUUACGUCCUAAGGGAUAAAAAUCAAAGUUGAAGAGCGUUAUAUUACCAAUUGAGUGGAUCGUGCUAUUUAAUUUGACAACCCACAAUAAACCUUACCUGUCUUUGUAUACUUUACAGGUGUUACAUUACCGUCUUUAGGUAUUACUGAGAAGUUAUUACCGAAAUAUGCUACCAAGUAGCAAUGUGACUGGUCUACAUGACUCUAACAGACAGGGCUAUAGGCGCGAUAUCAAGGAUUAGAAUCUGAAACUCGAUUCUAUGAAUAAAUAAUCAAAAGUAAUAUGAUGUUAGAAUGAUCAUAUGAAUAUCAAGAAUAUAGGCUACUAAUUGCCCAUCAAUCUCCGAGUGAGAUAAGUUGACACAUAGUUACGUUAGAUGAAUUUGACGUGGGAAAU